UUGAAGAGUUUGAUCAUGGCUCAGAUUGAACGCUGGCGGCAGGCCUAACACAUGCAAGUCGAGCGGUAGCACAGAGAGCUUGCUCUCGGGUGACGAGCGGCGGACGGGUGAGUAAUGUCUGGGAAACUGCCUGAUGGAGGGGGAUAACUACUGGAAACGGUAGCUAAUACCGCAUAACGUCGCAAGACCAAAGAGGGGGACCUUCGGGCCUCUUGCCAUCAGAUGUGCCCAGAUGGGAUUAGCUAGUAGGUGGGGUAACGGCUCACCUAGGCGACGAUCCCUAGCUGGUCUGAGAGGAUGACCAGCCACACUGGAACUGAGACACGGUCCAGACUCCUACGGGAGGCAGCAGUGGGGAAUAUUGCACAAUGGGCGCAAGCCUGAUGCAGCCAUGCCGCGUGUAUGAAGAAGGCCUUCGGGUUGUAAAGUACUUUCAGCGGGGAGGAAGGCGAUAAGGUUAAUAACCUUGUCGAUUGACGUUACCCGCAGAAGAAGCACCGGCUAACUCCGUGCCAGCAGCCGCGGUAAUACGGAGGGUGCAAGCGUUAAUCGGAAUUACUGGGCGUAAAGCGCACGCAGGCGGUCUGUCAAGUCGGAUGUGAAAUCCCCGGGCUCAACCUGGGAACUGCAUUCGAAACUGGCAGGCUAGAGUCUUGUAGAGGGGGGUAGAAUUCCAGGUGUAGCGGUGAAAUGCGUAGAGAUCUGGAGGAAUACCGGUGGCGAAGGCGGCCCCCUGGACAAAGACUGACGCUCAGGUGCGAAAGCGUGGGGAGCAAACAGGAUUAGAUACCCUGGUAGUCCACGCCGUAAACGAUGUCGACUUGGAGGUUGUGCCCUUGAGGCGUGGCUUCCGGAGCUAACGCGUUAAGUCGACCGCCUGGGGAGUACGGCCGCAAGGUUAAAACUCAAAUGAAUUGACGGGGGCCCGCACAAGCGGUGGAGCAUGUGGUUUAAUUCGAUGCAACGCGAAGAACCUUACCUACUCUUGACAUCCAGAGAACUUUCCAGAGAUGGAUUGGUGCCUUCGGGAACUCUGAGACAGGUGCUGCAUGGCUGUCGUCAGCUCGUGUUGUGAAAUGUUGGGUUAAGUCCCGCAACGAGCGCAACCCUUAUCCUUUGUUGCCAGCGGUUAGGCCGGGAACUCAAAGGAGACUGCCAGUGAUAAACUGGAGGAAGGUGGGGAUGACGUCAAGUCAUCAUGGCCCUUACGAGUAGGGCUACACACGUGCUACAAUGGCGCAUACAAAGAGAAGCGACCUCGCGAGAGCAAGCGGACCUCAUAAAGUGCGUCGUAGUCCGGAUUGGAGUCUGCAACUCGACUCCAUGAAGUCGGAAUCGCUAGUAAUCGUAGAUCAGAAUGCUACGGUGAAUACGUUCCCGGGCCUUGUACACACCGCCCGUCACACCAUGGGAGUGGGUUGCAAAAGAAGUAGGUAGCUUAACCUUCGGGAGGGCGCUUACCACUUUGUGAUUCAUGACUGGGGUGAAGUCGUAACAAGGUAACCGUAGGGGAACCUGCGGUUGGAUCACCUCCUU
rnacentral:rRNA from 2 species